UGUGCAAUCAUUUCCAAGGAGUUUUUCAUUAAUCAAAAGAGGAAAGGUGGGCGCUAGAAGAUGAGUUGAUACCGUAGUAGUAUCAACCAUACAAGAUGCUGAGUAGGGAGUAGCAGAUAGUUUCAUUGAUGACUAUGAUAGCACCUUAUGUGAAAACAAAGUUUUUGGGUUGAGGGGGGAGUAUGGUUGCAAGGCUGAAAGUUAAAGGAAUCGACGGAAGGGCGCCGCCAGGCGUGGAGCCUGCGGUCUAAUUUGACUCAACACGGGAAAACUUACCAGGUCCUGACAUAGUGAGGAUUGACAGAUUGAGAGCUCUUUCUUGAUUAUAUGGGUGGUGGUGCAUGGCCGUUCUUAGUUGGUGGGUUGCCUUGUCAGGUCGACUCCGGUAACGAACGAGACCUCAAAUUCUAAAUAGUCCAUGCCGCCUUUUGGCGGUAUGCUGCGUUGUUAGAGGGUCUAUUGGCGUUCUAGCCAAUGGAAGUAUGAGGCAAUAACAGGUCUGUGAUGCCUAUAGAUGUUGGCGGCCGCACGCCAAUUACAUUGAUGCGUUCAACGAGCCAAUCCCCGCCCGAGAGCUCCGGGUAAUCUUUGAAAACGCAUAGGGAGGGGGUUAGAAUAUUGCAAUUAUUAGUGAUAAACGAGGAAAGCUUAAUAAGCGCGAUUCAUCAGAUCGCGUUGAUUAGUUCCCAUCCCUUUGUACACACCGCCCGUCGCUCCUACAGAUCGGGUGUCGCUCGAAGUGUUCGGAUAGGCAAAGGAGGGGGCAAGUCUUGCAUGCGGGGAAAAUCA
rnacentral:rRNA from 1 species